AUCAGUGUUACAUGUAUAGUUGAAUUGUCUUCUGAGGUAAAUGGAACGCACAUUAAGGAUGGUGGUUAACAGCAAAAACAUUGGAGAGUGGAUGCCACAUUUGCGGGGUCUAAGGUUAACAGGGUGCUGUGAUCUAUGGCUUUUGCUCCAUGAAGAUCUGGAGCUCUAACUUCGAGGGAAUGGCGCUCUCUGUUCACAAAUGCCAGAAUGAGCGUGUUCACUUCAGCGUUCAUUGGAUAAAAUACGAAUGAUUUCAGUUCCUGAUCAAAUGAAACAUGAACGAUUGAUCGUUCAUGAGUUUGUUCAGGCACAAUACCGCAUAGUAUCUUGUUGUAAGGAUCUUGUGGAUUUACAUUCUGUUUUUUUCCACUGUGUUUUUAUUAUUGUAGCCUAUCAUAGCACGGGGACUGGCAUUGGAACUCAGCCUUGGCUGUAUGUGGCACCAAGGGCACUUGUCAGGAUGACCCUCAUGCGCUCCGGAGGAAAAAGUGAUACUGAGGAGGCCGAUGUCCAGUGCAGACCCAAGUGUGACUAAUUGGACCAAUCCUAAAACCAGACACAGAGCAAUUUCACAGGUCACCCCUACCCAUUCCUCCUGAAUGGAAUGCUCCGGAACCUUCUUUAUGUGCUCCAGCUCCCCAGGUACUCUUUAGCUGGAACACCUACAGAAGCACAAAGGAAACAGGUGAGCACAAACAAUCAUUUACCACUUUAAAUCCUCAAUAAUCAUACCAACUCUUCUUACAGGUCCAAACACUUCACCCUUUUUAAAUAAACAUUAAAACAAUUGUUAUUGAGCCUGGUUUCAUUUAUCCUACAACCAUAGCAAAAGCCUGUGUAAUGGACUUAUUACAUUACACUGUAAUUGGGCGAGUUUACAUUAGUAUGUACUGUUCAAUACCACAUACUGUCCCUCUUAAGCAAAUGAAAAGAAACUUUGUCAGAUUUGAAGAAAAUAGAUUAUUUAGUUAGUCAUGGUCAUGUGUUUACUCAACAUUCAAAACAAUGUGCCAACCAUGUUGGCGCGAUGAAUCAAUUUUGUUUAUUUUCUGUGUGAUUCAUCCUCCAAAUAUGUGUUAAGUAAAAAACAUUUUUCUCUAAUGUAAUUUCAUUAGGUAAUGUGUGGAUGUUGCAUCAGGUCGUCUGACAUCUUGGUAGUUUAUGUAUAAGUUUUUUGUAUAAUUUUGAGAAUUUCCCUUUCAGAAACAAAAACCUGCUGUCGAUAUAGAUUUUCAGUGUUAACACAGAUUUUAUCCUGAAAUGUAACACUUUUGAAAAUAUAGUCAACAAAAAUCUCCCUGUUGGAAAAGAGAGAUUUUAUCCUUGCAAAACAGCUAUCUGAUUUGUUUGUUAAUGCAACUUGACAACUUGCAAGUUGUCAAGUCAUUUAAACAUUCAUGUUGAAGUUAAGUUAAAAGUUAAAGUCCCAUUAGUUGUCAAACUGAUGUGUGUGCGAAAUUUGUUCUCCGCAUUUGACCCAUCCCCUGGGGGAGCGGUGAGCUGCAGACGCAGACGCGCUCGGGAACCAUUUGGUGGUUUAACUCCCCAAUCCAACCCCUUAAUGCUGAGUGUCAAGCAGGGAGGCAUUGGGUCCCAUUUUUUCAGUCUUUGGUAUGACCCGACCAGGAAGCGAACCCUGAACUCCCAGUCUCAGGGCGGACACUCUACCACUAUAGACCCCUGAGCUGGUCAAACCCAUGUUUGACUUUUACGGUCUUCUGUUGUUUUUAUAUUAAAUGUUUUUGUAUUUUUGAGCCUUUUUGAAGUUAUGACAGUACUUUUUCAUUUAUUUCUGGACCUACUGAGUUAUCUUUUGAGUUUUUCUUUGCUUUUUUGUCCCACAAAUCCCAUUUUACUCACCUGUUUUCCAUCUAUAAUCAGCUCAGCUGUAUAAUCUCUCAGUAAUCACCCUACUUUUCAUUAAAUAUUCCUCAAUGUGGUUGUCACUGUUUGUCUCGUUAUUUUCCUCAAACUAAGUUGGGAUUUUCUUAAUUUUUGAUUCAUGAACUGUUUUUCCUCAUUUUGCUGCCAUGUCAGCUUUUUCAUGUUCAUGAUUUUUUCAACUCUGUUAUGUGCAUCCUUAGACUGGACAUUUAGCUCCUCUUUUCACUCUGUGACUGAUUCAUGCUUUAAAAUGUGAUUGAAUCAUGAUAUAAAUCUAAAAUAUCACUGAAAACAGCUUUCUCCAAUCAAAAUGUUUGAGGACUGUCUAUAAAAUGGCAGGAAUAGGUUUUGGAAGCACAUUGGAGACGAUUAACAAUUAUUUGCAUUGAGGUUUCUUUGUGAGAAUGAAAACAUGAACAGAAACUACCAAAAUGGCCGUUUGGCUGCUUAUUAAAAUGUUCCAUAACCCAUGAAGGCUCUUUCCUGGACUUCACUGAUGUGGGAUGGGAAAUUAACUUGGCCUGCAAUCAUUACAAGAUUGUAUUAGUUUGAGGGAAAAAGGAAAGUGUUCCACAGAACCUGAGCCUUUUGUUGACUAACUUGGGUUGAAACAGUUAUUCUGAGUUUCACACGAGAUAAAAAUGAACAACCUGAAUUUAAGGCCAAUAACCUAUGGUUGCAUUUUAACUGACCAUUCUAGCAUGUUAUUGUUGAAAACUGGGUCCUGAAAAAUGUCUCGGUUCAUUUCUUUUCUGGAGCGAUUUACAGUAAAACUAAUAAAAAUGUUUUCCGGGGAACUUUCUGUACAAUUUAAAGCUACCCAUUCAUCUCUACUAUUUUACUUUAGAAGAUUUUGUUGAAAAGUACAGUGCAGGUUAAAUGUCAGUUAACAGAAAGCAAAGUUUAAAACAAGCUGAAGAAGAUGGGCAUGAGAAUUUCAUCAUAAUUUGGCAGAAUAAGUGAGAAUAUUUACAUCGUAUAUCACCCUGACCCAAUGAAUCACAAUAAAAUGUCUGAUCAAGUCCAUCUGGUGAUGGAUGUAGAUGCUAUUCUGCAGUAAAAUGUGACCAGAAUGGUGGGCAGCCUGGGUAGGAAGAGCCACAAUGUUGUGGCUGUAUAUUUGUGCGACGGUAGCACAGGAGUUGAGUGCUCACCCCAUAACACCACCAGCGUGUGAAUGUGUGUGUGUGAAUGGGUGAAUGACAAACUGAUUCUGUCGUAAAGCGACUUAGGUGGUUCCAGGACUCUAGAAGGUGCUAUAUCAAAUACAGGCCAUUUAUCAAAGAUCCUCUACAUGCAUACACAAACAGUCACACACUCCCUCCCUCAUGCUCACACAUACACAUACAACCAAAGACUUACGUUGUAUGACUGUAUAUGUCAGGUGGGGACUUUGACUCCUCCCUUCUCCUGGGACUUCUUUUGAUGAUAGAUCUUCAUCUCCCCUCUCCCUGCCACACCUGGUGUGGUGUGUGGUGCCUUGGUCUGCCUGGGUCAUGGCUCCCGGUUCAGGGAGUUUAAGAUUUUUGGCAUCUGCCUGACCAAUCCUGGUGGGGUCUGGGUCCCUGGGCUCUGCUGGGUCCCCGACGGGGGUGGUCGUCCCUGGGUCCCGGGCUCGGCAGGCUAGGGGGUGGGAGGCUGCGGGCGGGCCUGUGGGCUUGCCGCCGAUAUCUCCCAGGACUCUGCCGGCUGCUAGUUGUGGCCCCCCAGGGCGAUCCUCUGCACCUCUCGAGGGGGGCGGGGGCUUUUUUGGUCACAGUCUCCCUGGGGUUCCUGUGCUCUGGGGCAGCUCCUGGAUCUCUGGGACUUGGAGCUCCCUCCAUCUCCUGCACAUCUUUAGGGUGCAGAUCUGUGGCCCCUCACACUCUCUAUUGGACGCUCCUAUAGAAAAACCUUACAUAAACAAGCUAAGUGCCCACCCUGUAAUCGGAAGGUUACAAGUGCAAGUCCUGCUCAGACUGUCACUGCUGUUGUGUCUGUGAGCAAGACACUUAAACCACCUUGCCUGCUGGUGGUGUUCGGAGGGACCGGUGGUGCCUGUGUUCGGCAGGCCUCGUCUCUGUCAGUGCUCCCCAGGGCAGCUGUGGCUACGAUGUAGCUCAUCAUCACCACGGUGUAAAUGUGUGUGUGGAAUAACUGAUU